GAAUUGCAGAAUCCCGUGAACCAUCGAGUCUUUGAACGCAAGUUGCGCCCCAAGCCUUCUGGCCGAGGGCACGUCUGCCUGGGUGUCACAAAUCGUCGUCCCCCCAUCCUCUCGAGGAUAUGGGACGGAAGCUGAUCUCCCGUGUGUUACCGCACGCGGUUGGCCAAAAUCCGAGCUAAGRACGUCAGGAGCGUCUUGACAUGCGGUGGUGAAUUUAAUUCUCGUCAUAUAGUCAGACGUUCCGGUCCAAAAGCUCUUGAUGACCCAAAGUCCUCAACGCGACCCCAGGUCAGGCGGGAUCACCCGCUGAGUUUAAGCAUAUCAAUAAGCGGAGGAAAAGAAACUAACAAGGAUUCCCUUAGUAACGGCGAGCGAACCGGGAAGAGCCCAGCUUGAAAAUCGGACGUCUUCGGCGUUCGAAUU
rnacentral:rRNA from 1 species